CCCCGCCCUUUGGGCUGGAGGGGGCGGUGUCGCCCUUCGACCUCAAGGUUCCUCUGGGCAGAGCGCCCCGCACUCCUUCGUGGAAAGCAGCCCGGGCGAGUGAUGGCUGCGACGCACGCACAGCGCAGCACCCGAGAGAUCUUCACCACGCUGGAGUACGGACCCGUGCCUGAGAGCCACGCAUGCGCAUUGGCCUGGCUGGACACCCAAGACCGGCACUUGGGUCACUAUGUAAAUGGAAAGUGGCUAAAGCCGGAACACAGGAAUUCAGUACCUUGCCGGGAUCCUGUCACAGGAGAGAACUUGGCCAGUUGCCCCCAGGCACAGGCUGAGGAUGUGGCGGCAGCCGUGGAGGCAGCAAGGACUGCGUGGGAGAACUGGAGCGGACUCCCUGGAGCCUCUCGGGCCCAGUACCUGACCAGGCUGGCCAAGAUGAUCCAGAAGCACCAGCGGCUACUUUGGACCCUGGAGUCCCUGGUGACCGGGAGAGCCGUUCGAGAGGUUCGAGACAGGGAUAUCCCACUGGCCCAGCAGCUACUCCAAUGCCAUGCAGUCCAGGCAUACACCCAGGAGGAGACGCUGGCAGGCUGGGAGCCCAUGGGAGUGAUUGGUCUCAUCUUGUCACCCACGUUCUCCUUCCUUGAGAUGAUGUGGAGGAUUUGCCCUGCCUUGGCUGUGGGAUCUUUGCACUGCCCACCUUUCCCAGGGUGCACUGUGGUGGUGCUGGUGCCCCCAGGCUCUCCAACACCCCUCCUCCUGGCCCAGCUGGCAGGGGAGCUAGGCUCCUUCCCAGGAAUCCUCAACGUGAUCAACGGCCCUGCCUCCCUGGGCCCCAUCCUGGCCUCCCAGCCUGGAGUCCAGAAGGUGACCUUCUGUGGAGCCGUCGAGGAAGGACGUGUCCUUCGGCGGACCCUGGCGGGUCAGGGUGCUGAGCUGGGCCUGGCACUGGGGGCCGAGUCGCUGCUGGUGCUGACGGAGGCAGCGGACGUGGACUCGGCGGUGGAGGGCGUCGUGGAUGCAGCCUGGUCCGACCGCAGCGCGGGGGGACUCCGGCUCCUCAUCCAGGAGUCCGUAUGGGACGAGACGAUGAGGCGGCUUCAGGAGCGCAUGGCACGGCUUCGGGGCGGUCGAGGGUUGGACGGCGCUGUGGACAUGGGGGCUCGAGGGGCUGCCGCAUAUGACCUGGCCCAGCGCUACGUGCGCGAGGCCCAGAGUCAGGGCGCACAGGUGUUCCAGGCUGGCGAUGUUCCCUCAGUCAGCCCAUUCUUCCCCCCAACUUUGGUCUCUGACCUGCCCCCAGCCUCCCCAUGUACCCAGGCAGAGGUGCCCUGGCCUGUGGUCGUGGCCUCCCCAUUCCGCACAGCUAAGGAGGCACUGGCCGUGGCCAACGGGACGCCCCGAGGAGGCAGUGCCAGUGUGUGGAGCGAGAGACUAGGGCAGGCCUUGGAGCUGGGCUCUGGGCUCCGGGUGGGCACGGUCUGGAUCAACGCCCACGGCCUUAGACACCCCGAAGUGCCCACAGGUGGCUGCAAGGAGAGUGGGUCUUCCUGGCACGGGGGCCCAGACGGUCUGUAUGAGUAUCUGCGGCCCUCCGGGACCCCUGCCCGGCUGCCUUCCCUUUCUGAGAAUCUGAACUAUGACACCUUUGGCCUUGCUGUCCCCCUGACCCUACCAUCUGGGCCUGAAAUAGGACCCAGCCCAGCGGCCCCCUAUGGGCUCUUCAUCGGGGGCCGUUUCCAAGCUCCUGGGGCCCGGAGCUCCAGAUGCAUCCAGGAUUCGAAAGGCAAUCUCCAUGCCUACGUGGCUGAGGGCGGAGCCAAGGAUAUCCGAGGUGCCGUGGAGGCCGCUCACCAGGCUGCCCCUGGCUGGGUGAGCCAGCCACCAGGAGCCCGGGCGUCCCUGCUGUGGGCCCUGGCAUCUGCACUGGAGCGCCGGGAGCCUGCCCUCGCCUCGGCGCUGGAGAGGCACGGAGUGGAGCUCAAGAGCGCCAAGGUGGAGGUGGAGCUUAGCGCGAAGCGGCUGCGGGCGUGGGGGGCCCGCGCCCAGGCCCAAGGCCACCUCUUGCAGGUGGCAGAGCUGAGAGGCCCUGUGCUCCGGCUGCGGGAGCCGCUGGGCGUGCUGGCUAUCGUGUGCCCUGAUGAGUGGCCCCUGCUUGCCUUUGCGUCCCUGCUGGCCGCCGCCCUGGCCCAUGGCAACACCGUGGUCUUGGUGCCCAGCGGGGUCUGCCCCAUCCCCGCGUUGGAGGUCUGCCAGGAUAUGGCCACCUUGUUGCCAGCGGGCCUGGUGAAUGUGGUGACUGGAGACCGGGACCACCUGACCCGCUGCCUGGCCUUGCACCAGGACGUCCAGGCCCUGUGGUAUUUCGGAUCUGCCCAGGACCCAUAGCUUGCAGACAAACAAUAAAACACAGUGGCUCUCUGGAAUACAAUAAAAACCCUGGUUGGAGUCGAAGAAACUGAGGCUUAUUGAGGGUAAGGCGCUGGCCAAGCUCCCACAAGGACCCCGCCAGAGCUAAAAGUGAUAUUUGCCAGGCCUGAUGCAACAAGACCUAUUCCCCAAGUCCCCUUGGGUCGCGGGCCCUGGCAGGACAAAGCCAGAGGCCCAGAGGACGGUCAGACCCCAGCAACACAACAAGCUCCUGGCCUGUGCCAGGGAGACCCAUAAUCUGUGCGACUGUGGAGGGGACAU